rnacentral:rRNA from 1 species
AUCGAACGCUGGCGGCAGGCUUAACACAUGCAAGUCGAGCGCCCCGCAAGGGGAGCGGCAGACGGGUGAGUAACGCGUGGGAAUCUACCCAUCUCUACGGAAUAACGCAUGGAAACGUGUGCUAAUACCGUAUACGUCCUUCGGGAGAAAGAUUUAUCGGAGAUGGAUGAGCCCGCGUUGGAUUAGCUAGUUGGUGGGGUAAAGGCCUACCUAGGCGACGAUCCAUAGCUGGUCUGAGAGGAUGAUCAGCCACACUGGGACUGAGACACGGCCCAGACUCCUACGGGAGGCAGCAGUGGGGAAUAUUGGACAAUGGGCGCAAGCCUGAUCCAGCCAUGCCGCGUGAGUGAUGAAGGCCCUAGGGUUGUAAAGCUCUUUCACCGGUGAAGAUAAUGACGGUAACCGGAGAAGAAGCCCCGGCUAACUUCGUGCCAGCAGCCGCAGUAAUAC